rnacentral:lncRNA from 1 species
CUGUUUGUGCUUUAAAAAAUAAAGAUCAGUUUAGAAAUCAACCAAGAACACCCAAAACGCCCAAAAUCUGAUACCAAAUGAUACGGGGUUGCGCGCGGACCAAGAUCGAGUUGCCAAGUCACGAGAAACUCUUACGAAAACCCUAAACAAUUAGAUCUGAAACGAAACAGAAAAUUAAAAGAUUAGAUUUUUGAAUUUUCAGAUCUGAAAUAAAAUCCCCAAAACAGUAAAGAAUCAAAUAGAGAAUAGAAAUAAGUGU